AGGAACUAGAGACCAGAAACAAAGAGCUGGAGGAGAUAAGAGAUGAGUGGGAGAAGAAGCUCAAAGAGGAGGAGAAGAAAAGAGAAAGAGCUGGGAAAGAAGUGGAGACACUGAAGAGGAAACUGGAGACUGGGGUGCUUCACUAAUAAAGUCUGAAUGAUUGAGAGAUAGAACAUGAAGCUGACUGAUGUGAAAGGACUAAUCUGUGGAUGUCGUCUCCUCCCAGUCAGAGACAAUCAAACCUGAACAAAAACAGAACAGCAGCAGCUCAGACAGUCAGAAGACAUUAAGAGGCAUCACUGUAGUCGUUGGGCCUGACUGCAAAUAUAUCUGUCUCAUAAACAAGUUUGAUCAGGACAAACCACUGGGAGGACGUCAGUUAAAAGUCCAGAUCAACAAUAAAAAACCCAUCACAUACACAUUUGAUCCAUCAAUGAAACUCAAGGCUGGAAACUCUGUUACUAUAUGGUGUCCAGACUGUAGUAGCUACUUUCGUUUCUUUGAUGACCUGGUGUGGGAGGACCUGAAGUUCUGGAAGUCUGGAGACAGAGUCCAUGUCUCUCUGCAGUGAAAUAGUUCCCAGUUGAACUCCUUCAAUAAAGUUCAGUAAUCCAGCAAACAGCAACAUUAUAGAUGAGAAACAGCACGACUCAGAUCUUCC